CAGUAGCCACGGUAAUACGGAGGGGGCUAGCGUUGUUCGGAAUUACUGGGCGUAAAGCGCACGUAGGCGGCUUUGUAAGUUAGAGGUGAAAGCCCGGUGCUCAACUCCGGAAUUGCCUUUAAGACUGCGGAGCUAGCAGGUGAGAGAGGUGAGUGGAAUUCCGAGUGUAGAGGUGAAAUUCGUAGAUAUUCGGAAGAACACCAGUGGCGAAGGCGGCUCACUGGCUCAUACUGGACGCUGAGGUGCGAAAGCGUGGGGAGCAAACAGGAUUAGAUACCCGGGUAGUCCCUGUCUCUUAUAC
rnacentral:rRNA from 1 species